rnacentral:rRNA from 1 species
CCNGCUUGCUGGAUCCUGACGAGCGGCGGACGGGUGAGUAAUGCAUAGGAAACUGCCCAAUAGUGGGGGAUAGCCCGGGGAAACCCGGAUUAAUACCGCAUACGUCCUACGGGAGAAAGCAGGGGCUCUUCGGACCUUGCGCUAUUGGAUGUGCCUAUGUCGGAUUAGCUAGUUGGUGGGGUAAAGGCCUACCAAGGCGACGAUCCGUAGCUGGUCUGAGAGGAUGAUCAGCCACAUCGGGACUGAGACACGGCCCGAACUCCUACGGGAGGCAGCAGUGGGGAAUAUUGGACAAUGGGGGCAACCCUGAUCCAGCCAUGCCGCGUGUGUGAAGAAGGCUUUCGGGUUGUAAAGCACUUUCAGUGAGGAGGAAAACCUUAUGGUUAAUACCCAUGAGGCUUGACGUUACUCACAGAAGAAGCACCGGCUAACUCCGUGCCAGCAGCCGCGGUAAUACGGAGGGUGCAAGCGUUAAUCGGAAUUACUGGGCGUAAAGCGCGCGUAGGUGGUUAGGUAAGCGAGAUG